GAUGAACGCUGGCGGCGUGCCUAACACAUGCAAGUCGAGCGGCAGCGAGGGGUGCUUGCACCCUGUCGGCGAGCGGCGGACGGCUGAGUAACGCGUGGGAACGUGCCCCAAAGUGAGGAAUAACUGCCCGAAAGGGUAGCUAAUACCGCAUAUUAUCUUCGGAUCAAAGGAUUUAUCCGCUUUGGGAGCGGCUCGCGUCGGAUUAGGUAGUUGGUGAGGUAAUGGCUCACCAAGCCGACGAUCCGUAGCUGGUCUGAGAGGAUGACCAGCCAGACUGGAACUGAGACACGGUCCAGACUCCUACGGGAGGCAGCAGUGAGGAAUCUUCCACAAUGGGCGAAAGCCUGAUGGAGCAACGCCGCGUGCGGGACGAAGGCCUUCGGGUUGUAAACUGCUUUUAUAAGUGAGGAAUAUGACGGUAACUUAUGAAUAAGGAUCGGCUAACUACGUG
rnacentral:rRNA from 1 species